GACGAACGCUGGCGGCGUGCCUAAUACAUGCAAGUCGAACGCACAGUUUAUACCGUAGCUUGCUACACCAUAGACUGUGAGUUGCGAACGGGUGAGUAACGCGUAGGUAACCUGCCUGGUAGCGGGGGAUAACUAUUGGAAACGAUAGCUAAUACCGCAUAAUAUUAAUUAUUGCAUGAUAAUUAAUUGAAAGGUGCAAUUGCACCACUACCAGAUGGACCUGCGUUGUAUUAGCUAGUAGGUGAGGUAACGGCUCACCUAGGCGACGAUACAUAGCCGACCUGAGAGGGUGAUCGGCCACACUGGGACUGAGACACGGCCCAGACUCCUACGGGAGGCAGCAGUAGGGAAUCUUCGGCAAUGGACGAAAGUCUGACCGAGCAACGCCGCGUGAGUGAAGAAGGUUUUCGGAUCGUAAAGCUCUGUUGUAAGAGAAGAACGGGUGUGAGAGUGAAAAGUUCACACUGUGACGGUAUCUUACCAGAAAGGGACGGCUAACUACGUG
rnacentral:rRNA from 1 species